rnacentral:rRNA from 1 species
CUUUUAAAUAAGUAAGAGUGAGUUGUGUAUGCCUUGGGUCUGGAAGUCGAUGAAG